rnacentral:rRNA from 1 species
AAUAUUGGGCAAUGGAGGCAACUCUGACCCAGCAACGCCGCGUGAGUGAUGAAGGUCUUCGGAUUGUAAAACUCUUUAAGUGGGGACGAAGAAAGUGACUGUACCCACAGAAUAAGCCACGGCUAACUACGUGCCAGCAGCCGCGGUAAUACGUAGGUGGCAAGCGUUGUCCGGAUUUACUGGGUGUAAAGGGCGUGUAGCCGGGCUGACAAGUCAGAUGUGAAAUCCGGGGGCUCAACCCCCGAACUGCAUUUGAAACUGUUGGUCUUGAGUAUCGGAGAGGCAGGCGGAAUUCCUAGUGUAGCGGUGAAAUGCGUAGAUAUUAGGAGGAACACCAGUGGCGAAGGCGGCCUGCUGGACGACAACUGACGGUGAGGCGCGAAAGCGUGGGGAGCAAACAG